UAUUUUAGCUACGUUUCGGAUAGUUUACUAUCCGUCCUCAGGCUAACAAAUUGUUCUUACAUUUGACGUGUACAACUUUUCACGUGUACAAAGUUGUACACGUCAAAUGUAAGAACAAUUUGUUAGCCUGAGGACGGAUAGUAAACUAUCCGAAACGUAGCUAAAAU